UGAAAWCAGAGCAACCUUAGUUGAUCAUGUCAUCAACCAUGGGCUGACAAUGCGAGAGGCUGGACAGAGAGUGCAGCCCAACUUGAGCCGUUUUACUGUCGCCUGUGUCAUCCGGACAUUUAGACUGGAGUACAGGACUGAGAGACGCAACCAUGGUGGAGGGAGGGGCCAAAUGUUCACCGGGGUACAGGAAGCUGCCAUUGUAAACUUGGUUUUGGAAAAUAAUGAAAUCAGAUUACGAGAAAUUCAAAGCCACAUCAUCCAAGACAACUCCAUAUUCAACAACAUUCAACGAGUCAGUCUGUCCACAUUGGCUCGCAUUCUCAAGCGAAACCAAAUCACAAUGAAACAACUUUAUAAGGUGCCGUUUGAGAGAAACUCUCAAAGAAACAAAGAGGUCAGACGAGCAUAUGUGGAUGGAGUACUGGAAAUGGAUGCUCAUGCAAUCCCACAUGAGUGCAUCUUUAUAGAUGAGGCUGGGUUCAACCUAGCAAAGACCAGAAGAAGGGGGAGAAACGUCAUUGGCCACAGAGCCAUUAUAGAUGUUCCUGGCCAACGUGGUGGGAACAUCACAAUGUGCGCUGCCAUCUCCAAUACGCAUGGUGUCCUCCACCGUCAUGCCAACCUUGGACCAUACAACACAGCCCAUAUUCUCACAUUUCUGGACAGAUUUCUGGACAGACAUUCUCAUACCACCAGAGCAUAUGAAUGAUGCAGACCAUCAAAGAACCCGGUAUGUUGUAGUAUGGGACAACGUGAGCUUUCAUCGUGCAGCCCCAGUCCAAAACUGGUUUGCUGACCACCCACCAUUUCUCGUGCAAUACCUCCCACCAUACUCACCAUUUCUGAACCCCAUAGAAGAGGUCUUUUCGGCAUGGCGGUGGAAGGUAUACGACCGGCAGCCCUUUGUGCGCAUGCCUCUUGUGCAGGCUAUGGAAGAGGCAAGUGAUGAGAUUGAUGUGGGUGCGAUUCAGGGUCUCACUUUUUCGAGAUGCCUACAAGGA